AACGAACGCUGGCGGCGUGGAUAAGACAUGCAAGUCGAACGGGAACUUCAGCUGUAGCAAUACAGUUGAAGUUUUUAGUGGCGAACGGGUGCGUAACACGUGGGCAAUCUGCCGAGAAGUGGGGGAUAGCUCGCCGAAAGGCGAAUUAAUACCGCAUAUGAUCAGCUAAGACAUCUUAGCGACAUCAAAGCCGGGGCAACCUGGCGCUUUUUGAGGAGCCCGCGGCCUAUCAGCUAGUUGGUGAGGUAACGGCUCACCAAGGCUAUGACGGGUAGCUGGUCUGAGAGGACGACCAGUCACACUGGAACUGAGACACGGUCCAGACACCUACGGGUGGCAGCAGUCGAGUAAUUUUUCU
rnacentral:rRNA from 1 species